UAUGAGAUUUAAGAGUACUCAGGUUGUAUGUGUGUAUGAAACCCAAAUGGGUAAAGAGAGAGAGAGCUUGGAAGCGAUUUGAGAGAAAAGAAGUUUAAUGAGUGUUUGUGUGUCUAAGUGUUUAAGAGAUUAGUGACCAGACUAAGAACGUGUAUAGAGAUUCAGGAUGAGAGACUAGAGAGACUAAGAGAAAGUGUUUCAGAUUAGAGAAGGAGAAGGGAAACCCCCUUACUCACUUAAGAGUUACAAAACAUC
rnacentral:lncRNA from 1 species